rnacentral:rRNA from 1 species
CAGUAGCCGCGGUAAUACGUAGGUGGCAAGCGUUGUCCGGAAUUAUUGGGCGUAAAGCGAGCGCAGGCGGUCAAUUAAGUCUGAUGUGAAAGCCCCCGGCUCAACCGGGGAGGGUCAUUGGAAACUGGUUGACUUGAGUGCAGAAGAGGAGAGUGGAAUUCCAUGUGUAGCGGUGAAAUGCGCAGAGAUAUGGAGGAACACCAGUGGCGAAGGCGGCUUUCUGGUCUGUAACUGACGCUGAUGUGCGAAAGCGUGGGGAUCAAACAGGAUUAGAUACCCCGGUAGUCCCUGUCUCUUAUAC